CAACCAACUGUACCAGAUGUUGUCCGCUUUAUCCACACAUGGGCCCACAAUUUUAAAAUGUUUCUGUCCAGGUGUGGAUAAAGGGGACAAUAUCUGGUACGGUUGGCUGA
rnacentral:ncRNA from 2 species